rnacentral:rRNA from 1 species
GAUGAACGCUGGCGGCGUGCCUAACACAUGCAAGUCGAGCGGUCUUCUUCGGAAGAGAGCGGCGGACGGGUGAGUAACGCGUGGGUAACCUGCCCUGUACACACGGAUAACAUACCGAAAGGUAUGCUAAUACGAGAUAAUAUGCUUUUAUCGCAUGGUAGAGGUAUCAAAGCUCCGGCGGUACAGGAGGGACCCGCGUCUGAUUAGCUAGUUGGUAAGGUAACGGCUUACCAAGGCGACGAUCAGUAGCCGACCUGAGAGGGUGAUCGGCCACAUUGGAACUGAGACACGGUCCAAACUCCUACGGGAGGCAGCAGUGGGGAAUAUUGCACAAUGGGCGAAAGCCUGAGGCAGCAACGCCGCGUGAGCGAUGAAGGCCUUCGGGUCGUAAAGCUCUGUCCUCAAGGAAGAUAAUGACGGUACUUGAGGAGGAAGCCCCGGCUAACUACGUGCCAGCAGCCGCCGUAA